UUCACUUUUUACGUGAACUUGUUCAAAGUUCAGUUCACAAAAUUUUAAAAUGAACUAGUUCAGUUAAAUGUUCAUAAUUCAAAAUUAACUAGUUCAUAGUUCUUUUUUUCAAUAUGUUGCUGUGAGCUAUUAUUUUUCUCCGGUAUUUUGAACAUUGAUCCCCCUUUCUGGUUUGUCUAGGAUGAAAUAGAGUGGUUGAAUCAAGUAUUGUAGCGAAAUACAGUUUGUACCGUGUUUUAUUGCGCAUUUAGCGCAUUUUGUAAAUCCCAUUGAUUUCUCGCUUCAAACACUUAAGGUACGAACACACCAAACGCGUAACCCGCGUAAGAUUUACGCGCGUAACGCAGCUAAAAUGUUGCUUGACCAUUUUGUGUCAAAAAUGGUCCUACGCAGCUACGCGCCUGUGGCUGUGCUGGAUUUAGGAGUCCGAGGAAGGAAACCCAAACGCCGCCGUGUUUGGGUGCAUGAUAGAGCUUGGAUCGGGUUGGAUUAAAUUAUCUCAGAUAUAAAUAACAAUAAUCGGGUUAAAUAACUUCACAUGGUGUGUCUGGUGUGUUUCCAGCAUUCGUAGUGUUGAUCAGCAGAGAUAUAGUCCGCCAAGACGUUGAGGUUGCAUAGCAACCAGAGACUCUGUCCAUGCAAGUGAAUGGAGCGUUCCCUCUUCUUCAUAACUAUCAAACCAAACAUCCUUCACAUUCACAGAGCGAACAUUAUGAAAGUAAAAUGCACAUUUCUCGCUAAAAAUGUUUACAUAAACGCAUUUAAUGGCGUAACUAUGUUACUAUUUCCACCCAGAAUAAAGAAAGAUGUCGGCCGUAUGCUUCUGUGCAAGCGUCACUACUCUCUGCCAGUGACGUCGGAUCAAGCUCCACGCUGAUUGGCUAUCGCGGCUAAGCGUCACGCGUUGGAGCGUUGAAAGUUCAAUUUUUUGAACUCCGGGCGUAGGCGCGUAGGUGCGUUAGGUGCGUAUAUACGCAGCUCAUACGCGGCUAACGCGGCUAAAAUGUUGCUUUAGCGCAUGUAACGCAUCUACGCAGCUCAUACGCGCGUAAACCAAUGGU